rnacentral:lncRNA from 1 species
GGACCAAAAAGCAAAAGCAGUGUGUUGUAUGUUAAUGGUCACUGAAGAUACAGAGAUAGUGGUUUAGCUUAGUUACAAAGCUAACUAGAUUAUAUAGGCGUUGAAGAGUUUGAAGUAGGAUAAUGUCUCCAGGGGAGAGUCUCAAAUACAAGGGAGUCCUCUGUUUUUAAAUUCCUUUUUCAUGUUACUGGAAUAGAAUACUGUACUUUCGAAGUGUAUAUACCUACCUUCACACCAAAAACCGAAAAUAAAAAUGUAAGCGGAACUAAACAAAAGUUUACAGGACUUAUGCCGCUGGUCAUUUGUGUGUAGACUAAUAGUUAUGUGUUUAGGCAAGAUUCUCCAAGCCAUUCGAUUCCCUGAUUUUCAUUAAUUUGAGAGUAAACACGUCAUGCCGUAAAUUUCGCAUUCACAUAAAUUGCGGAGCGUGGGAGAGGAGGCUUAAAAUGAAACCAAAAACCUCAUUCGCUAGCCUGAAGCCUGAAAUUCAGUUUCAUUGUUCGUAUUAUUGGUGCCUGCCUGAGGAAGAAGUUACAAGGUUCUGUAAGGUUUGGCCCAACAGAGGGAUGAAGAGGUCCAGUAACUUACAUUGACAUACAUUUCCAUGUCAUUAUACAGAAUAUAGAAUGGUGAAAGUAUUUUUCGUCCUUGCUGGAAACACUCAGAACACCCAGGCAAAGUUUUGGCAGCGCCUGGUCAGAAGAAGUACCAAUGCGGUGAAAGUGGCCAACGUUAAAGACUGUGAUGUGACCCUCACAUUCUGUCCAAUCGUCUCACGAGUUGGAACUGAUGUAGAGGCAGCCGUCCAGCUGAUCCCCACAACUACACCUGGAGUCCUGGUAUUACUGCACCCGACCUUUAACCCAGAGGAAAUAGUCCCAGACGCCAGCAGAUUUGUACACCGUGAUGACAUCCUGACUGUCAACUGCUUGUUCCACGAGAGCGAGCUACUGGACAGUGACUGCAAUGACAAAGCGUUUGAAAGUGUUUCCCGUUACUUAAUGAGCUUCCAGAGGGGAACUGCCUCUCAAAGCCAAAACCAUCAUGUUGUCUAUGAUAUUCCUCUUCUACCUCGGAAUCAAAACCAUGGUUACCUUUAUUUAAUAUCACAAAAGCUCCCCCACAUGCUGCUGAUAGCUGGCAUAGUAUUCAUUAUAAUCUCGAUUAUCCUAUGGGUAAAGUCAUUGCUCUAAAACAAGCGUCAUUAAGGACGUCUCAUUUUGUUAAAUGCUCUCAGAGGAGCUGAGGAAUGAGGUGAGAUGUGAAGAAAUAGUGGAGCGUUUUCAAUUGGAAUGCCUGACAUAUGGCCAGAGGUGGAAAUUCCCCUCGUCUUCAUAUGUCAACCUACAAUUUAAAAUAACACGUAGUGGUUUAUGAACAAAAAUAAAUGAUCAAUCAAACCAAGAAAACA